AGAGUUUGAUCCUGGCUCAGGAUGAACGCUAGCUACAGGCUUAACACAUGCAAGUCGCAGGGUAACGUGAGGGAAGCUUGCUUCCCUUGACGACGACUGGCGCACGGGUGAGUAACGCGUAUCCAACCUUCCCAUGACCACGGGAUAACCCGUUGAAAGACGGACUAAUACCGUAUGACGUCGUUUGCUGACAUCAAAUAACGAUUAAAGGUUUAGCGGUGAUGGAUGGGGAUGCGUCUGAUUAGCUUGUUGGCGGGGUAACGGCCCACCAAGGCGACGAUCAGUAGGGGUUCUGAGAGGAAGGUCCCCCACAUUGGAACUGAGACACGGUCCAAACUCCUACGGGAGGCAGCAGUGAGGAAUAUUGGUCAAUGGGCGAGAGCCUGAACCAGCCAAGUAGCGUGCAGGAAGACGGCCCUAUGGGUUGUAAACUGCUUUUAUGCGGGGAUAAAGUGCGCGACGUGUCGCGCAUUGCAGGUACCGCAUGAAUAAGGACCGGCUAAUUCCGUGCCAGCAGCCGCGGUAAUACGGAAGGUCCGGGCGUUAUCCGGAUUUAUUGGGUUUAAAGGGAGCGUAGGCCGCCAGGUAAGCGUGUUGUGAAAUGUACCGGCUCAACCGGUGAAUUGCAGCGCGAACUGUCUGGCUUGAGUGCACGGUAAGCAGGCGGAAUUCAUGGUGUAGCGGUGAAAUGCUUAGAUAUCAUGAAGAACUCCGAUUGCGAAGGCAGCUUGCUGCAGUGCGACUGACGCUGAUGCUCGAAGGUGCGGGUAUCAAACAGGAUUAGAUACCCUGGUAGUCCGCACGGUAAACGAUGGAUGCCCGCUGUCCGCCCUUUUGUGGCGGGUGGCCAAGCGAAAGCGUUAAGCAUCCCACCUGGGGAGUACGCCGGCAACGGUGAAACUCAAAGGAAUUGACGGGGGCCCG
rnacentral:rRNA from 1 species